UUGUAUUGUAUAAGCUUAUCCA
rnacentral:miRNA from 1 species